GGGCACGUGGUGAAACCAGGUCAUCAUGCCCGGCCUGAUAUGCGGGGGUUGAGCGUUCAAAUCGCUCCGUGCCUA
rnacentral:tRNA from 1 species